rnacentral:rRNA from 1 species
CCUGGAAACGGGUGGUAAUGCCGGAUGCUCCAGUUGAUCGCAUGGUCUUCUGGGAAAGCUUUCGCGGUAUGGGAUGGGGUCGCGUCCUAUCAGCUUGACGGCGGGGUAACGGCCCACCGUGGCUUCGACGGGUAGCCGGCCUGAGAGGGCGACCGGCCACAUUGGGACUGAGAUACGGCCCAGACUCCUACGGGAGGCAGCAGUGGGGAAUAUUGCACAAUGGGCGCAAGCCUGAUGCAGCGACGCCGCGUGAGGGAUGGAGGCCUUCGGGUUGUAAACCUCUUUUAUCGGGGAGCAAGCGAGAGUGAGUUUACCCGUUGAAUAAGCACCGGCUAACUACGUGCCAGCAGCCGCGGUAAUACGUAGGGUGCAAGCGUUAUCCGGAAUUAUUGGGCGUAAAGGGCUCGUAGGCGGUUCGUCGCGUCCGGUGUGAAAGUCCAUCGCUUAACGGUGGAUCCGCGCCGGGUACGGGCGGGCUUGAGUGCGGUAGGGGAGACUGGAAUUCCCGGUGUAACGGUGGAAUGUGUAGAUAUCGGGAAGAACACCA